rnacentral:rRNA from 1 species
AUUGAACGCUGGCGGCAGACCUAACACAUGCAAGUCGAACGGUAACAGGAAGCAGCUUGCUGCUUCGCUGACGAGUGGCGGACGGGUGAGUAAUGUCUGGGAAGCUGCCUGAUGGAGGGGGAUAACUACUGGAAACGGCAGCUAAUACCGCAUAAUGUCGCAAGACCAAAGAGGGGGACCUUCGGGCCUCUUGCCAUCGGAUGUGCCCAGAUGGGAUUAGCUUGUUGGUGGGGUAACGGCUCACCAAGGCGACGAUCCCUAGCUGGUCUGAGAGGAUGACCAGCCACACUGGAACUGAGACACGGUCCAGACUCCUACGGGAGGCAGCAGUGGGGAAUAUUGCACAAUGGGCGCAAGCCUGAUGCAGCCAUGCCGCGUGUAUGAAGAAGGCCUUCGGGUUGUAAAGUACUUUCAGCGGGGAGGAAGGGAGUAAAGUUAAUACCUUUGCUCAUUGACGUUACCCGCAGAAGAAGCACCGGCUAACUCCGUG